GACGAACGCUGGCGGCGUGCUUAACACAUGCAAGUCGAACGAUGACGACCGAGCUUGCUCGGUCUGAUUAGUGGCGAACGGGUGAGUAACACGUGAGCAACCUGCCCUUCACUCUGGGAUAACCUCGGGAAAUCGGGGCUAAUACCCGAUAUGAGCUCCUGUCCCAUGGCGGGUGUUGGAAAGUUUUUCGGUGAAGGAUGGGCUCGCGGCCUAUCAGUUUGUUGGUGAGGUAGUGGCUCACCAAGGCGAUGACGGGUAGCCGGCCUGAGAGGGCGACCGGCCACACUGGGACUGAGACACGGCCCAGACUCCUACGGGAGGCAGCAGUGGGGAAUAUUGCACAAUGGGCGAAAGCGUGAUGCAGCGACGCCGCGUGAGGGAUGACGGCCUUCGGGUUGUAAACCUCUGUCAGCAGGGAAGAAGCGAAAGUGACGGUACCUGCAGAAGAAGCGCCGGCUAACUACGUG
rnacentral:rRNA from 1 species